AAUAUUUGUGCAUCCCUCCUCAAUUUCCGAAGUGCGUAUUAGAUUGUCAAUGUUUGUAGCCUUAAAAAAUAUAACUUAAUAAAUAGUAUUUUCUUUGAGUGUUUCUAUAUGUAAUUUCUUGUUGUUCUGAUGUUCAUUUGUGGUUCUGUUUUGUUCCUGAGAUAAGCAGUGUAGGAACUUUUAUUUUUGCUGGGUUUGUUACCACAUUUAUAGUGGUUUGUUACCUUGUUUACACAAACACAUCUUGUGUUUUGGUUACUGUUUUUAAUAAAAUUAUUGCUGAUUC
rnacentral:lncRNA from 1 species